rnacentral:snRNA from 1 species
AGAUGUAAGGGUGGUUGGCUGCAACAUCUGUCACCCGCCAGCGUCCGCCUAGGGUUGAUUAGUGAUCUUGGCUGGAUAGCUGCGUGUGCCCUCCUGCCUCACCACUGCAUGUACAUCCCUCCUGAAGCUACAUGCCUGGUUGAAGAAGACAACCUUCCCCAGUAGAAGAGGGCCACUGUUUGGUUAAGGGUAUAUAAGUACCUGUAUUCCCCUGCUAGAACCUCCAAACAAGCUCUCAAGUUCCAUUUGUAGGAGAACAUAGGGCAGUCAAGCUUCUAAGACUCCAGACACAUCCAAAUGAGGUGCUGCAUGUGGCAGUCCGCUUUUCUUU